UACAGAGGGGGCAAGCGUUGUUCGGAAUUACUGGGCGUAAAGGGCGCGUAGGCGGCCUUCUAAGUCGAACGUGAAAUCCCUGGGCUCAACCCAGGAACUGCGUCCGAUACUGGAAGGCUUGAAUCCGGGAGAGGGAUGCGGAAUUCCAGGUGUAGCGGUGAAAUGCGUAGAUAUCUGGAGGAACACCGGUGGCGAAGGCGGCAUCCUGGACCGGUAUUGACGCUGAUGCGCGAAAGCUAGGGGAGCAAACGGG
rnacentral:rRNA from 1 species